GUGACAGAAGAGAGUGAGCACACAUGGUAUUUUCUUACAUUAUAGUAUAUAUGGAUGUUUGAAGCUAUGCGUGCUCACCCUCUAUCUGUCAC
rnacentral:pre_miRNA from 1 species